rnacentral:rRNA from 1 species
GCCCCUACGGGGGGCAGCAGUGGGGAAUAUUGCACAAUGGGGGGAACCCUGAUGCAGCGACGCCGCGUGAGUGAAGAAGUAUUUCGGUAUGUAAAGCUCUAUCAGCAGGGAAGAUAAUGACGGUACCUGACUAAGAAGCCCCGGCUAACUACGCGCCAGUAGCCGCGGUAAUACGUAGGGGGCAAGCGUUAUCCGGAUUUACUGGGUGUAAAGGGUGCGUAGGUGGCAGGGCAAGUCAGAUGUGAAAGCCCGGGGCCCAACCCCGGUACUGCAUUUGAAACUGUCCGGCUGGAGUGCCGGAGAGG